GAUGAACGCUGGCGGCGUGCCUAAUACAUGCAAGUCGAGCGAACAGACGAGGAGCUUGCUCCUCUGACGUUAGCGGCGGACGGGUGAGUAACACGUGGAUAAUCUACCUAUAAGACUGGGAAAACCUCGGGAAACCGGCGCUAAUACCGGAUAAUAUAUUGAACCGCAUGGUUCAAUAGUGAAAGACGGUUUUGCUGUCACUUAUAGAUGGAUCCGCGCCGCAUUAGCUAGUUGGUAAGGUAACGGCUUACCAAGGCGAGGAUGCGUAACCGACCGGCGAGGGGGAUCGGCCGCACUGGAGCUGAGACGCGGUCCAGACUCCUACGGGAGGCAGCAGUAGGGAAUCGUCCGCAAUGGGCGAAAGCCUGACGGAGCAACGCCGCGUGAGUGAUGAAGGUCUUCGGAUCGUAAUACCCUGUUAUUAGGGAAGAACAAAUGUGUAAGUAACUAUGCACGUCUUGACGGUACCUAAUCAGAAAGCCACGGCUAACUACGUG
rnacentral:rRNA from 1 species